GUCAUGUGUCCUUAAGGGGUUAAGUGAAAUAUGUUCAUUGGCCAGGCAUUGGUCAAUCCAAUCCAGCAGAGAGAUUUUAUGUGUUGUAAUGGGUAUGAAAUCAUCAUGAGAAAAAAAAAAAAAAAGUUUGUGCAGUUCAGAAAAACUGGCUACUGAAUAUUAUGUGUUACUGGACUAUCCAAACUGCUGCCAUGGGUGAACAUUGAAUAGGAGCCAUCUAAGUUUGCCCAGAAAUAAGGCAAGUAAUUAUUAUAAGAAAACAGAUAGGUUACGCAACAGGAUGCUGAAAUACAGCAAACUAAAAAGGACCACUACAAUAUUGCUGCUGUGACUGAAAUUUCUGACGACAAAUAUAACCAAUGCAAAAAGAUCCAACGAUCUGAGCUUUUAGCAAGCAGAGCUAAUCUACAGAAAGGCAAACUUCCUUUAAUUUUCCCAAUGCAUAAAUGAACACUCC